GAGAGUUGAUCCUGGCUCAGGAUGAACGCUAGCGGCAGGCUUAACACAUGCAAGUCGAGGGGCGAGCGUGGAGUAGCAAUACUCUGACGGCGACCGGCGAAAGGGUGAGUAACGCGUGAGCAACAUGCCCGAUACUGGAGGAUAGUCGAUGGAAACGUCGCGUAACACUCCGUAACAUAGGGGACCGCAUGAUUCUCUAUUAAUAGAUUUAUCGGUAUCGGAUUGGCUCGCGUACCAUUAGCUAGUUGGCGGGGUAACGGCCCACCAAGGCGACGAUGGUUAGGGGUUCUGAGAGGAAGGUCCCCCACAUUGGAACUGAGACACGGUCCAGACUCCUACGGGAGGCAGCAGUGAGGAAUAUUGGACAAUGGCCGAGAGGCUGAUCCAGCCAUGCCGCGUGGCGGGAGGACGGCCCUAUGGGUUGUAAACCGUCUUUUGUUGGGGAGCAAUAAGGGUCACGUGUGACCUGAUGAGAGUACCCAGCGAAUAAGCAUCGGCUAACUCCGUGCCAGCCGCCGC
rnacentral:rRNA from 1 species